AACGAACGCUGGCGGCAGGCUUAACACAUGCAAGUCGAACGCACCGCAAGGUGAGUGGCAGACGGGUGAGUAACACGUGGGGAUCUGCCCAAUGGUACGGAAUAGCUCCGGGAAACUGGAAUUAAUACCGUAUGAGCCCGCACGGGGAAAGAUUUAUCGCCAUUGGAUGAACCCGCGUCGGAUUAGCUAGUUGGGGUGGUAAAGGCGCACCAAGGCGACGAUCCGUAGCUGGUCUGAGAGGAUGAUCAGCCACACUGGGACUGAGACACGGCCCAGACUCCUACGGGAGGCAGCAGUGGGGAAUAUUGGAAAAUGGGCGCAAGCCUGAUCCAGCCAUGCCGCGUGAGUGAUGAAGGCCUUAGGGUUGUAAAGCUCUUUCGCCGCCGAAGAUAAUGACGGUAGUCGGAGAAGAAGCCCCGGCUAACUUCGUGCCAGCCGCCGCGGUAAGAC
rnacentral:rRNA from 1 species